AUUGAACGCUGGCGGCAGGCCUAACACAUGCAAGUCGAACGAGUGGCGGACGGGUGAGUAAUGUCUGGGAAACUGCCUGAUGGAGGGGGAUAACUACUGGAAACGGUAGCUAAUACCGCAUACCAUCGGAUGUGCCCAGAUAGGAUUAGCUAGUAGGUGGGGUAAAGGCUCACCUAGGCGACGAUCCCUAGCUGGUCUGAGAGGAUGACCGGCCACAGUGGAAGUGAGACACGGUAGAGAGUCCUACGAGAGGAAGCAGUGGGGAAGAUUCCACAAUGGGCGCAAGCGUGAUGCAGCAAUGCCGCGUGUAUGAAGAAGGCCUUCGGGUUGUAAAGUACUUUCAGCGGGGAGGCGUUACCAGCAGCAGAAGCACCGGAUAACUCCGUGCCAGCAGCCGCGGUAAUAC
rnacentral:rRNA from 1 species